ensembl:misc_RNA 7SK 7SK RNA
GGAUGUGAGGGCGAUCUGGCUGCGACAUCUGUCACCCCAUUGAUCCCCAGGGUUGAUUCGGCUGAUCUGGCUGGCUAGGCGGGUGUCCCCUUCCUCCCUCACCGCUCCAUGUGCGUCCAUCCCGAAGCUGCGAAUUGAUUUUCCAUGUAUAUAGUCACAGAAAUGCACGUGCCCAUAGUCAUAGUAAUGCACAUAUAUACCUAUAAAUAUAUACAAAGAUAAUUAUUUGUAUGUGUGUGUGCAAAUGGAAUAU